CAGUAGCCGCGGUAAUACGGAGGGAGCUAGCGUUGUUCGGAAUUACUGGGCGUAAAGCGCACGUAGGCGGCUUGGUAAGUUAGAGGUGAAAGCCCGGAGCUCAACUCCGGAAUUGCCUUUAAGACUGCCGAGCUAGCAGGUGAGAGAGGUAAGUGGAAUUCCGAGUGUAGAGGUGAAAUUCGUAGAUAUUCGGAAGAACACCAGUGGCGAAGGCGGCUUACUGGCUCAUACUGGACGCUGAGGUGCGAAAGCGUGGGGAGCAAACAGGAUUAGAUACCCCAGUAGUCCCUGUCUCUUAUAC
rnacentral:rRNA from 1 species